AUUGAACGCUGGCGGAAUGCUUUACACAUGCAAGUCGAGCGGCAGCGCGGCCUUCGGGCUGGCGGCGAGCGGCGAACGGGUGAGUAAUGCAUCGGAACAUGCCCAGUCGUGGGGGAUAACACUUCGAAAGAAGUGCUAAUACCGCAUACGUCCUGAGGGGGAAAGCGGGGGAUCGCAAGACCUCGCGCGAUUGGAGUGGCCGAUGUCAGAUUAGCUAGUUGGUGGGGUAAAGGCCUACCAAGGCGACGAUCUGUAGCUGGUCUGAGAGGAUGAUCAGCCACACUGGGACUGAGACACGGCCCAGACUCCUACGGGAGGCAGCAGUGGGGAAUUUUGGACAAUGGGGGCAACCCUGAUCCAGCCAUUCCGCGUGAGUGAAGAAGGCCUUCGGGUUGUAAAGCUCUUUCGGCAGGAACGAAACGGUGGGCUCUAACAUAGUCCGCUAAUGACGGUACCUGAAGAAGAAGCACCGGCUAACUAC
rnacentral:rRNA from 1 species